CAUGCACAUUGUUAGAGCUUGGAGUUGAGGCCACUGGCUAGCUGAUGAACUCAGAAUUACAGGGGCAAGUCUUUUGGUAACACCACAAGGGUCUUUGCGCCAAUGAGUGGACUUUGAUAGUAAUUCUUGCUGCAAGU
ensembl:snoRNA SNORA62 Small nucleolar RNA SNORA62/SNORA6 family